GAGAAACAAAAUUAAACCGUUGAAGAUAUGACUUCUCUAAUAAUUUUUUUUAUUCCCACAUUUAUCUUGUUUUCAAAUUUUUAAAUUCCUAAUUAAGUUAAUUUUAUCCAUAAAUCAAGUACCUAUUUGGGAAUAGUAGGAUUUAUUUGAAAAUGCUUUUAGAUCACCAAAAACGUUUAUAAUAAUAUUUCAUAGAAAGUAUGCACUUAAAGGCUUUUUGAAAGUAGCAUCUCCUAUGUGCUUUCAUCUGGAAGCACUUCAACAGCUUUUUAAACAAAUACUUUAAAAACAAACAUUUGUAUAAAAAGUUUCCAUAAACACUUUUAGCAUUCGGGAGGCUAAGCAACACAAUGGAUUAGUUAUAGUAAUUUUAUUCAAAUUCAUCUUUGACGAGAAUUAAAUCUAAAAUUUCU
rnacentral:lncRNA from 1 species